GCCCCUGCAGCCCCGCUACCCGUCCAAGCCCCAGCAGCCCCGCUACCUGUCCAAGUCCCAGCAGCCCCGCUACCCAUACUCGUCCAAGCCCCAGCAGGCCGUCUACAAGCCCAAGCCCCAGCAAGUGGGGAUUCAAAUCCAACCUGGCAUGUCGGAGUUAUUUUCUCCCGCUGGAGGGGUUUCUGGUCGUAAUAUGCCGCCUAUCAACUUAAACGUACAAAUGACUGUUCCUCCAAGAACAAGACACAUUCCAAUGUCAUCCCAACAACGUCCCAGGUGGCAGCACUCCAUGGUUCCGGUGUGAAAAUGCAACCAUUGACCUAAAGGAUCCCCGCUGUUCCUGACCACGUUCCGAAAGCAGUCCGUCCUGACAUCAACCAUUUUGUGACGUUCAAUAAAAUACUUGGAACUGCA